rnacentral:lncRNA from 1 species
UUAGCUGUGAAGUGGGGUUCCCCACCUCUUUCCACCUCUACACCUUAUGAUUUUAAUUUUCUUCUGCAGGUUUUGCCACUUGAUUCACAUGGCCUUUUGGGGAAUGGGUAAUUUCAGUCGAUAUGUAGCUGUGUGAAAAACAGACCAUACCAAACUCAGCUGGGAAAUACCAGUGAUUUUCAGUGGAGCCAUAACCUAGGAUGAGUUUGGUCCGUUCCGUGUUUCCUGGUAGCACCUGAACUCUCUUCUUGGUUGAAGAAAAAGUAUUGGUUUCUUAUACGUGAGGUUUUGGUGAAAUGUUUAUUCACAGAAGUUGUGAAAAGGUUGACUGGAAUCGAUACAGCUGUUGGACGGGAGCUGCUGGUGCCUGGAGCACAACCUUGCUUUUGAAUCAAACGAGAGUAGGCUUUUAAAGAGAAAGAUGGUUGUGAGUGUAGACUCAUUCCUGGAGAGAGUUGCUUUGUGCUCGGUUGCACUGACUGAAUGAGAGCGUUUCAUGCUGUUCCCUGGUGCUGCAAGUCUCUCAAAAGAUUUUCAGCUCUUCCAAGAGGUCUGAACACAUCCUCCACCCUUCCUCAGCUAUGGGAGCACAUGCUUAACCUGUAAUCAUCAUGACUGAAAACAGCAUCUGUCUCUGGAGCAAGAAGAAAUAAUGUGCUCUGUUCUGCUGCUCCCUAUUCAAAGGUAAAUUGCUUUUAUUUUCUCCAAGAAUGGGUGCUCAUUUCUUUUCCUUACCUCUCCUCCUGG